AUGGGGGACUCGGCGGCGCCGGCGCCGGCGGCAGGCAGGCUGGAGAAGAGCUACUUCGACGUGCUGGGCAUCUGCUGCCCGUCGGAGGUGCCGCUGGUGGAGAAGCUGCUGGAGCCGCUCGCCGGCGUGCACAAGGUCACCGUCGUCGUGCCCUCCCGGACCGUCAUCGUCCUCCACGACGCCGCCGCCAUCUCCACCGCCCAGAUUGUGAGGGAGCUGAACGGGGUGAGGCUGGAGGCGUCGGUGAGGGCGUACGGCGGCGCCGGGCAGAGCAAGGUGUCCAACAAAUGGCCCAGCCCCUACGUGCUCGUUUGCGGGGUCCUUCUGGUGGUCUCGCUCUUCGAGCACUUCUGGCGGCCGCUCAAGUGGUUCGCCGUGGCGGGGGCGGCCGCGGGCCUGCCGCCGAUCGUGCUCAGGAGCGUCGCCGCGCUCCGGCGGCGCACCAUGGACGUCAACAUACUCAUGCUCAUCGCAGUUGCUGGGGCCAUAGCUCUCAAGGACUAUUCUGAGGCCGGGUUCAUCGUCUUCCUCUUCACCAUAGCCGAAUGGCUCGAGACCAGGGCCUGCGGCAAGGCCACUGCUGGCAUGUCGUCACUGAUGAGCAUGGCACCACAAAAUGCUGUUCUGGCAGAGACUGGACAAGUGGUUGCUACCCAGGAUGUGAAGAUCAAUACAGUAAUAGCUGUGAAGGCAGGGGAAGUCGUGCCGAUCGAUGGUGUUGUUGUUGAUGGACGGAGUGAGGUCGACGAGAGCACCCUCACCGGGGAGUCCUUCCCUGUGUCCAAGCAGGCAGACUCCCAGGUCUGGGCUGGCACACUCAACAUAGAUGGUUACAUUGCUAUGAGGACAACUGCUAUGGCCGACAAUUCUGCGGUGGCCAAAAUGGCAAGGCUGGUCGAAGAAGCCCAAAACAGUCGAUCCAGUACGCAGAGGCUGAUCGACACUUGCGCCAAGUACUACACACCCGCUGUUAUUUUCAUGUCUGCAGCAGUGGCAGUGAUCCCUGUGUGUGUCAGAGCACGCAACCUAAGACACUGGUUUGAACUGGCCCUAGUUCUCCUGGUGAGUGCUUGUCCAUGUGCUCUGGUGCUGUCGACACCUGUGGCAACCUUCUGCGCGCUACUGAGGGCCGCGAGGACCGGGCUCCUCAUCAAAGGAGGGGAUGUCCUUGAGUCCUUGGCCAGUAUCAAAGUUGCUGCCUUCGACAAGACUGGUACAAUCACUAGAGGCGAGUUCUCUGUCGAGGAGUUUCAGACAGUUGGUGAGCGUGUUUCGAAGCAACAACUUAUUUACUGGGUUUCAAGCAUCGAGAGCAGGUCGAGCCACCCAAUGGCAUCUGCUCUUGUUGGUUAUGCUCAAUCAAACUCUGUAGAGCCAAAAUCAGAAAAUGUUGCUGAGUUUCAAAUCUAUCCUGGCGAGGGGAUUUACGGUGAAAUUGAUGGAGAGGGCGUAUAUGUUGGGAACAAAAGGAUCUUGGCAAGGGCAUCGUGUCAAACAGUUCCAGACAUAGUAGAACACAUGAAAGGAGUUACCAUCGGAUACGUGGCCUGCAACAAGGAAUUGAUUGGGGUAUUCAGCCUAUCGGAUUCAUGCCGAACUGGGUCAGCCGAGGCCAUCAAGGAGUUGAGAUCAUUGGGCAUAAAGUCAGUGAUGCUUACUGGCGAUAGUACUGCCGCUGCCACACAUGCGCAAAACCAGCUGGGGAACAUACUAGCCGAGGUUCAUGCUGAACUUCUGCCAGAAGACAAAGUGAGAAUUCUUGAUGAACUGAAGGCAAGAGAUGGCCCUACACUGAUGAUUGGCGACGGCAUGAAUGAUGCCCCAGCACUGGCUAAGGCUGAUGUUGGAGUCUCCAUGGGUGUGUCCGGUUCAGCCGUCGCAAUGGAGACGAGUCACAUUACUCUGAUGUCGAAUGACAUCCGCAGGAUCCCAAAGGCUAUCAAGCUGGCCAGGAGGACACACCGGACCAUCGUCGUGAACAUUGUCUUCUCGGUGACUACGAAGCUUGCAAUUGUUGCACUUGCGUUUGCCGGGCAUCCGCUUAUUUGGGCAGCAGUCCUUGCUGAUGUUGGCACAUGCUUGUUGGUGAUCAUGUACAGCAUGCUGCUACUGAGGGAGAAAGGCAGUGGAAAGGUGGCGAAGAAAUGCUGUGCUUCUUCUCACUCAAAAAAGCAUGAGCAUAGUACUUCCCACCACCACUGCUCCAAUGGUCAUCAGCAUGAGCAUGUAUCUGCAGGCAAGCAUUCUUGCCAUGAUCAUCACCAUGAGCAUGAUCACCACAAAGAGCCUAGCAACCUGCAUUCCACAGACAAGCAUGGCUGCCAUGAUCAUCACCAUGAGCAUGAUCACCAUAAAGAGCCGAGCAACCUGCAUUCCACAGACAAGCAUGGCUGCCAUGAUCAUGGCCAUGGCCAUAGCCACUGCAAAGAGCCGAGCAGCCAGAUGGUGACAAGCAAGCAUGUUUCCCAUGGGCAUGGCCAUACCCACAACAUCUGCAACCCUCACCCCACUGCGAACAAGCAUGAUUGCCAUGACCAUGAACAUAGCCACCACCAAGAACCCAACAGUUCACAUUCUGCCGAUGAGCAUGAUUGCCAUGAUCACAAGCACUGUGAAGAACCAAUCAGCUUGCUUUGUGCCACUGAGCAUGCUUGCCACGACCAUGAGCAGAACCAUGAGCAUCAUUGCUGUGAUGAAGAGCAAACAGUGCAUGUCGCAGAUACGCAUUCCUGCCACGACCAUAAGCAUGACGGCAGUGCGGCUGAUCCAGUUCCAGAGCUGUCGAUAUCUAUCGAGAGCGCAUUGCCUGAUCACCAUGAGCAGGAAAUCCAGUGCAUCAAAGAACACAAAGAGGAAGCGUGUGGACAUCACCUGAAGGUCAAGGAUCACGUCCCGGCUCCGACGGAUUGCAGCAGGGGAAACUGUCACAGUACGGAGAGCAGCAAGGGAUGUGAAUAG
rnacentral:rRNA from 1 species